AAUUAGCCCCGAUGGAAGCGACAUCCUUUGGGUUGGCGUGAGGCGGCGGAGCGUAGCGGAGCCGUCCGAGCGCCAAACCUAAAGAUACAGCGGACAGCGGGUAUAAAA
rnacentral:sRNA from 1 species